CCAGGGCAUAGAUUCCAACUCUGGAGCAUGGAUGUGGGCAGCUGGGCAAGUUGCAUCAGCCUGGCAGCAGGAGGACAGACUGCAGAGCCGCAGGUGCUCAGGAACAUGAGACAGCCCUCUCCAGACCAGCCAAGCCAUGGAAAAUAACCACCAUGUUUGCAUGUUUAAAAAAUAAAUUAUUUAAAAUGUA